rnacentral:rRNA from 1 species
UACGUAGGGUGCAAGCGUUGAUCGGAAUUACUGGGCGUAAAGCGUGCGCAGGCGGUUGUGCAAGACAGAUGUGAAAUCCCCGGGCUCAACCUGGGAACUGCAUUUGUGACUGCACGGCUAGAGUACGGUAGAGGGGGAUGGGAUUCCGCGUGUAGCAGUGAAAUGCGUAGAUAUGCGGAGGAACACCAAUGGCGAAGGCAGCCCCCUGGGUCGAUACUGACGCUCAUGCACGAAAGCGUGGGUAGCAAACAGGAUUAGAAACCCCUGUAGU